rnacentral:snRNA from 1 species
GUGCUUACUAGUAGCACACACACUAAAACUGGAACAAACCAGAGAAAAUGAGCACGGUCUUUGCACAAGGAUUAGACACAGGAAUAGCAAAAUGCUGAGCUGUGCU